CCACCUUAACCUUCCCCCCCCUUGGUUUGGCCGGUCCCCUUUUGGCCCCCUUCCCCCCAACCGGAAACCUUUAAAAUUUCCAAUUUGGUUCCAAUUUACGGUUACCGGAAAAGGGAAGUUUCCGUUUAGUAAAAGGUUCGGGCCGGUUCCCGGGGCCUAAUUAAGGGGAAGGGGGGUUGGACCCCCCGGUAACCCCCCCCGGUUACGGAAAACCGUAAAAAGUUGGGUUGGGUUAGGGACCCUACCCGAAGUAGUGUAGUUUUCCGUUACCCCUAAAGGUAGCCGAACGGGAGCCACGAAGUAAACGUUUGUCUAGAAUAGUGGGGGACCAUCCUCCAAGGCUAAAUACUACUGACUGACCGAUAGUGAACCAGUACCGUGAGGGAAGGCGAAAGAACCCCGGAGAGGGGAGUGAAAUAGAUCCUGAAACCGUAUGCGUACAAGC
rnacentral:rRNA from 1 species